rnacentral:lncRNA from 9 species
CUAUCAACUCCUACUCUACUCUAGGGUUUGCGCAAAUAGGCUCCGUAUACAGAUGUCUUCUAAAUUCCACCCCUGGAGUAUGGUUUAUAUAUCUAGACUCAGCAGAGGAAAAUAGGGCAGAGGUUACCCAAUUCAACUGCGUUUCCACUGGUCUAUAGUCUCUGGGCCAUCAAGCAAUACAUCCUUGAUCUUUAAGCAUGAUGUGGUGUGGAUGCGUGAGAUGUGUGCGUACAUGCGUGUGUGCUCACGUGAGUGUGCGAGUGUGGGGUGGCGUCCAAAGCAAAGCAAAAUACUGUAUGUUUCUCUUUUGGUUCAGAUUCCAUGCCUAGAUAUAAUGGUUUGUUUACCAUAGUCACACCAUAUUAUGUUACAUUCUGUGAUUUCUUAGCAAAAGCAUGCUCUUUAAACUCUACUUUCCCAAGCAAUGAUCAUUUCUUGACAUGUUUUGUUAUUGGGAAAUGACAAAGACAUUUGUUAUAUCCUCAGACAAUAAAACAUGCCCUUGCUCAAAUACCUUCAUGGAAUAUUAAACAGAGUGAAUGCUGUUCCCUUUCCUGUGUUUAUCAUAGCAUAUUAAAAAUGAAGACGUAGCCCUUAUGUUUUCUUUCCUGAUAGACAAGACACUGGAAAGAAUGAGUUUAGUUUACCCUUCAUCCAACUGGGUUGACUUAGCGACGUCCAAAGCCUCCCACAGUGCCGUUAGGGUAUCAUUUCAAUCAUCCCGCUUCUCAAAGCCCAGUUCUAAUGUACCUUUCUUUCAAAUCCUCAUGAAGAAUAAGAUUCAAAAAUUCUCCUGUAAGUUUGCUCUUGGUCUCAACUCCAGGUUCAGUGAGUUUCAGACAGUGACGGGAAGAGCAAGAAGUGGGGAGAGAUCCCACAGGAGGACGAGGAACGAAUCUCCUUGGAAACUGGUGUGGACCAGCCUUAUUAAUCUGUUUGUCCUGUAGAAGAUCAUCCUAACAGAGACGGGCGUACGGGCACCGAGGUAUAUGGACGACUGGCCAGCGGACCCUACUGUGGAGCCAGAGAACUCUACCCCAUGUUCCAUGAUGACUGACGUGAAGAAAGAAUCUGAAAAGGAAGGGAGGUGUGUACGCGUAUCACUGAAUCACUCUGUUGACAACAGAAAUUAUCACGACAUUGCAAAUCAAUUAUACUUCAGUACAAUUUUAACAAAUGAGAAAAAAAAUUUAAAAACAUUAUCUUAACACAAGGCCAGAAAAAGGCAGUUGGGUCU